rnacentral:rRNA from 1 species
UUACCACUUUGAAAUGAAAGAGAUUCCUUCGGGNACAGGUGUUGCAUGGCUGUCGUCAGCUCGUGUCGUGAGAUGUAUGGUUAAGUCCAGUAACGAGCGCAACCCUAUCUUAUUUGCCAGCGGACGGGACUAUAGGAGACUGCCGGUCAAAACCGGAGGAAGGCGGGGACGAGGUCAAGUCAUCAUGGCCCUUAUAGUGGGCUACACACGUGCUACAAUGGUGUACAAGGGGCAGCGCAAGCGGAGCAAACCCUAAACAUUCGUAGUCCGGAUUGGAGUCUGCAACUCGACUCCAUGAAGUCGGAAUCACUAGUAAUCGCGAUCAGAGCGCGGUGAAUACGUUCUCGGGCCUUGUACACACCGCCCGUCAUACCAUGGAAGUGGGUGACCGAA